GACGAACGCUGGCGGCGUGCCUAACACAUGCAAGUCGAGCGAGUCUGCCUUGACUAUUGGCGUGCUUGCACUCAGCGAGACAAGAUAUACGCUAGCGGCCGACGGGUCUGUAAGAAGUGGGUAACCAGACCGAGAGAUCGCGUUAACCCCUGGAGACAGAGCCUGUUACUGGAUAACAACAGAUGAUGCCUCUUAUCAGUUUAAAAGCCGGUUCUGCCAUCGUUCGUUGAUGGACCUGCGGUGCAUUAGCUAGUCGGUAGGGUAACGGCCUACCAAGGCUAGUAUGCUUAGCGGAGAUGAGGGAGUGGUCGGCCACAUUGUGACUGAGACACGGCCCAAACACCUGCGGGAGGCAGCAGUAGGGAAUCUUACACAAUGGAGGAAAGUCUGAUCGAGCAACGCCGCGUGAGGGAAGAAGGAGUUCUGCUCGGAAAGCUCUGUUGGUGGUGAGGAUGGACAGGUGUAUUAACUGACCUUUUUUUGACGGUAAUCAAAUAAAAAGCUACGGCUAACUACGUG
rnacentral:rRNA from 1 species